GACGUAGGAUGCGAGCGUUGUCCGGAUUUAUUGGGCGUAAAGAGCUCGUAGGCGGUUUGUCGCGUCUGCUGUGAAAACCUAAGGCUCAACCUUGGGCUUGCAGUGGGUACGGGCAGACUAGAGUGCGGUAGGGGUGACUGGAAUUCCUGGUGUAGCGGUGGAAUGCGCAGAUAUCAGGAGGAACACCGAUGGCGAAGGCAGGUCACUGGGCCGCAACUGACGCUGAGGAGCGAAAGCAUGGGGAGCGAACAGG
rnacentral:rRNA from 1 species